UACGGAGGGUGCGAGCGUUGUCCGGAAUCACUGGGCGUAAAGGGCGCGUAGGUGGCGCGGGAAGUCAACGGUGAAAGUUCGGGGCUCAACCCUGAAUCGGCCGUCGAUACUCCCGGGCUCGAGCACUGUAGAGGCAGAUGGAAUUCCGGGUGUAGCGGUGGAAUGCGUAGAGAGUCCGGAAGAACACCGGUGGCGAAGGCGGUCUGCUGGGCAGUUGCUGGACACUGAGGCGCGACAGCGUGGGGAGCAAGCAGG
rnacentral:rRNA from 1 species